rnacentral:tRNA from 1 species
GGUAUAGCUCAGUUGGUUAGAGCGCCAGAUUGUGGCUCUGGAGGUCGUGAGUUCGACUCUCACUAC